rnacentral:rRNA from 1 species
AGAGUUUGAUCCUGGCUCAGAACGAACGUUGGCGGCGUGGAUUAGGCAUGCAAGUCGAACGAGAAAGCUUCCUUCGGGAAGUGAGUAAAGUGGCGAACGGGUGAGUAACGCGUGGGAAACCUGCCUUUCAGUGGGGGACAACACUCCUAACGGGGUGCUAAUACCGCAUACGACCUCCGGGGCGCCUGCCCUGGAGAUGAAAGACGGCCUCUGUUUUAAGCUGUCGCUGAAAGAUGGUCCCGCGUCCGAUUAGCUUGUUGGUGAGGUAACGGCUCACCAAGGCGACGAUCGGUAGCCGGCCUGAGAGGGUGUCCGGCCACACUGGGACUGAGAUACGGCCCAGACUCCUACGGGAGGCAGCAGUCGAGAAGCUUCGGCAAUGGGCGAAAGCCUGACCGAGCGACGCCGCGUGUGCGAUGAAGGCCCUAGCGGUCGUAAAGCACUGUCAGGAGGGAAUAAAGACCAACGGUUAAUACCCGUCGGGGUUGAAGGUACCUCCAGAGGAAGCACCGGCUAACUACGUGCCAGCAGCCGCGGUAAUACGUAGGGUGCAAACGUUGUUCGGAUUCACUGGGUAUAAAGGGUUCGUAGGCGGGCUGGUAAGUCAGAGGUGAAAGCCAACGGCUCAACCGUUGAAUUGCCUCUGAUACUGUCAGUCUUGAGUCCGUCAGGGGAUGGUGGAAUUCCUGGUGUAGCGGUGAAAUGCGUAAAUAUCAGGAGGAACACCGGUGGCGAAGGCGGCCAUCUGGGACGGUACUGACGCUGAGGAACGAAAGCAUGGGUAUCAAACGGGAUUAGAUACCCCGGUAGUCCAUGCUGUAAACGAUGGGCACUAGGUGUUGGAGGAGUCUACCCCUUCAGUGCCGUAGCUAACGCAUUAAGUGCCCCACCUGGGGAGUACGAUCGCAAGGUUGAAACUCAAAGGAAUUGACGGGGGCCCGCACAAGCGGUGGAGCAUGUGGUUUAAUUCGAUGCAACGCGAAGAACCUUACCGGGGUUUGACAUGCAGGGGACAAGCGUGGAAACACGCCCUUCUUCGGACUCCUGUGCAGGUGCUGCAUGGCUGUCGUCAGCUCGUGUCGUGAAAUGUUGGGUUAAGUCCCGCAACGAGCGCAACCCUUGCCCUUAGUUGCCAUCAGGUAAAGCUGGGAACUCUAGGGGGACUGCCGGUGACAAACCGGAGGAAGGUGGGGAUGACGUCAAGUCAUCAUGGCCCUUACAUCCCGGGCUACACACGUGCUACAAUGGUCGGUACAAUGGGCAGCAAGACCGCGAGGUGGAGCAAAUCCCAAAAAGCCGGCCUCAGUUCGGAUUGCAGUCUGCAACUCGACUGCAUGAAGUCGGAAUCGCUAGUAAUCGCGCAUCAGAACGGCGCGGUGAAUACGUUCCCGGGCCUUGUACACACCGCCCGUCAAGUCAACCGAGUUGGCUGCACCCCAAGUCGCUGAGCUAACCCGAAAGGGAAGCAGGUGCCCAAGGUGUGGUUAGCGAGGGGGACUAAGUCGUAACAAGGUA